rnacentral:rRNA from 1 species
AUUGAACGCUGGCGGCAUGCCUUACACAUGCAAGUCGAACGGCAGCACGGGAGCAAUCCUGGUGGCGAGUGGCGAACGGGUGAGUAAUAUAUCGGAACGUGCCCAGUCGUGGGGAUAACGUAGCGAAAGCUACGCUAAUACCGCAUACGAUCUACGGAUGAAAGCGGGGGAUCGCAAGACCUCGCGCGAUUGGAGCGGCCGAUAUCAGAUUAGGUAGUUGGUGAGGUAAAGGCUCACCAAGCCGACGAUCUGUAGCUGGUCUGAGAGGACGACCAGCCACACUGGGACUGAGACACGGCCCAGACUCCUACGGGAGGCAGCAGUGGGAAUUUUGGACAAUGGGCGCAAGCCUGAUCCAGCCAUGCCGCGUG